rnacentral:rRNA from 1 species
UAAGGAAUAUUGGACAAUGGGGGCGACCCUGAUCCAGCCAUGCCGCGUGAGUGACGAAGGCCUUCGGGUUGUAAAGCCCUUUCGGAUGUGAAGAUAAUGACAGUAACAUAAGAAGAAGCUCCGGCUAAACUCGUGCCAGCAGCCGCGGUAAUACGAGUGGAGCGAGCGUUGUUCGGAAUCACUGGGCGUAAAGCGUGCGCAGGCGGUUAUACAAGUCAGGAGUGAAAUCCCAGGGCUUAACCCUGGAAUU